GGCGCCCAGCAAUGAAGAUGCUUCGCUUGUUGACCGCUCGACUUUCGAAGUACUGUUCGUGCAGCCAAUUGGAACGAGAAGAUCAAGUUUCCAAGCGAAUUCCCCAAUCACCGAGAGCUGUCGAUUCAACCAAAGGAAACACUGGCAUACGGGGAGUACGCAGAGAGGAUACUGAACAAGCAUUACGAGGAGGCAAGAACAUCUGAACAUGAAGCACGCCUUUAUGCCUAAGGAGAACGUACUCCAGAUACUGUGCAGAAGCAACCUGAAGCGAAGUGAAUCACCGCUCCACUGUGCAUUUGUGUUUGUGGGUCUGUGUCUUGUGCCCAAGUCCUUUCUGUCCUUUUUUUUUGAACUAACAAGUCCUUUUUUGUCUUUCAUUUGUUCAAACUGCGCCUGCUCCUGAGGCUGUAGAGUGUCCAGAGCAGAUGUUUCUCUGAACCUUUGUUAGUUAAACUGGU